rnacentral:rRNA from 1 species
CUGCUGCCUCCCGUAGGAGUCUGGGCCGUGUCUCAGUCCCAAUGUGGCCGUCCACCCUCUCAGGCCGGCUACUGAUCGUCGCCUUGGUAGGCCGUUACCCUGCCAACCAGCUAAUCAGACGCGGGCCCAUCUCGCACCACCUGGGUUUUCAGGGCAGGGGCAUGCGCCCCCGCCCGCUAUGCGGUGUUAGCACCUAUUUCUAAGUGUUAUCCCCCAGUGCGAGGCAGGUUGCCCACGCGUUACUCACCCGUCCG